rnacentral:pre_miRNA from 1 species
UGGUCAAAUGCUAUCUGGAAGACUAGUGAUUUUGUUGUUCUAAUUUAUGAAAAAGACAACAAAACACAGCCUGCCUUAUAGCGUGGACCC